AAUAUGUAAUAUGGUUUUACUUCGUAGUGGAAAGAUGGUUGACUUUGUGUCAAGGAGUCUAAUCACUUACUCAUUGUGAGUAGUUCACAUGAUGAUCAUUUUAUGUUUAACCAUGGUAUAUGAGGAAAGGAAUCAGUUCACACUGGUGCUGAGGAUUGAAGUUUUAGCUCAGCAGGGUUAGGGCCCCUUUCCAGACUAAACUUAUUGAUCGUGUUAGCAGCGUUAUGUUUGACUAAAAGAAUAUUCUACUGCCAUUGUGCUUUACCGGCUUCUAAGAAAGAAAACAUAGUUGCUCUAGAAGUUAAAGCUUGAUCAAAUAUCUCAAUAACACCUCUUUCAUUGUCUCUCUCUUUCUUUUUUGUGUGUUAAACAUGAUUCUCUUUCUAAAGGUAAGAGAUAUUGCUGGCUUGCCUGUUAGGUCAAAUUGCAAAUUGAUUUGCUGUGGAAUAUGCCAUGUUUCUUCUUAUAUCUAGUCGUAGUUUUAAUUAGAGAACCGAAGGAACACUGCAAUAUUUAAUGCCUUACCACAUGUGUUUGCCAUAAAAGACUGCUUGUUGCAGCCUCUUCUAUACAUGUUCAACCCUUCUCUCUCUUUUCAAUUGGGAAGCUCAUUAGGCCUUGUGCUUCACAGCAGGGGCAAUAUUCUAUAUUCCUUAAACCUUUCUACUGUAAUCCCAAUUGGAUUUGAACUUACGAUCUCCAAGCUGGAAUUCCAAGCCUUAGCCAUUAUUAUGUCUCAUUUGGG
rnacentral:misc_RNA from 1 species